AUGUGCUAUUUUCUAACGCCGCCGCCGCCGCCGCCUGGCUGCGGCGUAACGGGGUGGGGGGAGAGAGAGAAGGAGGUGAGGGGGCUGAUAAAAUUAGCUCAGCAUGUCUGCACUGGAAGGGAGGGAAGAAGGCCCCGGGAGCGGCCGGCCUUGGAAUGGGAGGCGAGUCGCUGGAGCUGCUUUUGCAUCUCCGGGUCCCCAAGUCCUAGAGAUGGGCUCAGACUAGAGCCGGGAGGAGGAGGAGGAGGAGGAGACACCCAGAAUCAUUCUUCCGUGUACAAAAAUCAUUUGGGAUGGCAUUUCAUAUUCCACCUUGUUCAUAAUCUGACCAUCUGUCAAUUAUUUUGCUUCCUCCAGUCAAGUGGGAGAAGAAAUAAAGAACACUGCAGUCAGAAGAAAUCUUCAAAACUGAACCGAUCUCUGAAUACUGGCUGGCUGUGAUCACCAUGCCAUGCAGCAUCCAGAGGCAUCGUAUUGUCCAUACUCUGCUGGAAGCAGAGUAUGGAGACUGAGGAACCCAGACUGAGCUUCUUGUGUCAGACAUCACCUUCUUUUGUUCUCUCAUAACCUCUUUUUCAAAACCCAUUAACCUGCCAGUCACUUCAUUUAUUUAUGACAUAAAUGUAUAUCCUGCAUACAACUCAAAGUGAUAUAUGCAAGAUUUUUUGCAGUCUGACUUCCAGGCAUUUCACAGACCCAAACUAGCUUAGCUUCAGUUAAGCAGCUAUAUCAUAAGGAAAUGUUAGACCUUCUCUUUGAUCAGCCUUCUGAGCCACUCUCUCCUCCAUCGUUAUUACAUGAUUUCUGCUUAGUGCUUUGUGCUCAUUUUCUAAAACAAGAGCUUCUGAGCUUCACAGAGAUUGCUGGAUAGCUCAGUGAGUUGGGACGUGUCAAGGGGAACCUUUACCUUUACCUUUUUCUGAGCUUCACAGAGAUUGCUAGAUAGCUCAGUGAGUUGGAGUACCUGGCUGCAGAGCAAAGCCAGGAAUUUGGAUGUGCUUCCCAGAAGAGUCAGGAAGCAUAUGUAGGCUUGGGUAAACUACACAGUCCCAGAGUGCCACUGGAAGAAAGAUGUACCUAGGAAACCCUGAUGAGAGUUGCCAUGUGUCCAAAUGGAUGACACAUAAUUAUCAUAAACCACACAGGGUUGUGACUAGGUCUAUAACCAAGGGCCCCAAAAUUUAGAGAGUGUGAAGUUUGCUACUGGAUAGAAGAUGCUCUGAUGCCUGUUGGAAAGUUGUGAACCCAUCUUCCCCAAAUUGCUAUGUUCUAGCUCCUCCUUCAGAGAAAGACAGAAACACAAAAUAGGCUGGCUUCAUGCAGAACCAAUAUGACCAUUAUGUGUUCAUAUACACUCAUAUCCAGGCGUUUUUCCUCAUUCCGCCAUCUCUUUCUGCAUAUACAAAUCUGUGUGACAUAAGCUUAACCAACAAGGAAGCAAAAUCACAGUCAUCAAAAGUGCUAUGAGCCAUACAUAUAAAACUGGAUGCUCUCUCUCCAGUAUCACAAUUAAAUGGAUGCUGGCUGUAGUUUCUUUCCUUCAUUCCUUUUUUUAAAUGACAAAACCUCUGCAAGUUUAGAGAUAUUCUGUUUUAUUAAUUUUCCAGAACUGAUUCCUGAAAAUAGAAAUACAUAGGAGAAAAUUGUCCCAUAAAAUGAUCCCUCCAACACAACUAUAUAUGGCAAAAGGUCCCUUAGGAAUUUUGUAUAGCACAGGAAUUUUGUGUAGUGCAGAGACUCACUGUGAACCUCUGUUAAAAUUGUUUUACCUCAGCCUUUGUUCCAAGUUUCUAUACAUUAGAAUCAUAACAUGCUUGUUUCUAAAAUAUUUACUGCAACAGACUUAUCUGGUUUCAGAAAAAUCACCUUUUCAUUAGGAGGUGAGUAAUAAAAAAGACAUGAAAUUUAAUGUAUCGAAUUCU
ensembl:lncRNA